GCGCGUUUUUUGAAAAAGUAUUUUACUUGUGUUUUAAUGAUCAUAUCACAUUAAAAUAAUUAAAAACUAUUAUUGGCCCAUUCCUACAUUGUAGAAAAAAAGAAAUAAAGUUUAUUUGAGUGAGUUUGAGCGGUCGGCUUUCCGUAGACGACGGCCGGGGCGUAGUCUUGUCAUCAUCGUUGUCGUCAUCGUCGUCGAUUUUUACCAAACAAGCAAACAAGCGUUGGUUGAUAAGCUGCUCUCUCUUUACGGAUAUAUCUUGAGCAUUUUGAGAGCGUUUAAAAUGCAGUCCGGGGUCGCGGACCGACACGGGUCCCCCAGCAAGAGGACUCUUGCCCGGGGGAUGAGCGAGGACGAGUCCCUGCGCAUCAUCAUCUCGGAGACGGAGACCCCAUCCCGGCGGCUCGCCCGCAGCGACAGCCGAAGCGGAACUCUUAAGAGGAAGAGUGGAAGUCAGCAGUGUGAUCAGGACAUUUUCAAGACCCUGCCUGACGUGGGGCGGUCUGUUAUCAAGACUCAAGGAAGUGGAUAAAUCACAACAGCCUGUCCGCCCUGGCCCUGUCGAUGUUUCACUGAGAGAGAAGACGACUAAUGAUGGAGC
rnacentral:lncRNA from 1 species